rnacentral:rRNA from 1 species
GGAUUAGAUACCCUGGUAGUCCACGCUGUAAACGAUGAAUGCUAGAUAUCGGACUUAUUCGGUGUCGUAGAUAACUUGAUAAGCAUUCCGCCUGGGGAGUACGGUCGCAAGAUUAAAACUCAAAGGAAUUGACGGGGGCUCGCACAAGCGGUGGAAUAUGUGGUUUAAUUCGAAGCAACGCGAAGAACCUUACCAGCCUUUGACAUGGUAGUCGUAGAAUUCAGAGAUGAAUUUGUCAGUUCGGCUGGACUACACACAGGUGUUGCAUGGCUGUCGUCAGCUCGUGCCG